rnacentral:rRNA from 1 species
CCUACGGGUGGUUGCAGUGGGGAAUAUUGGACAAUGGGCGAAAGCCUGAUCCAGCCAUGCCGCGUGUGUGAAGAAGGCCUUCGGGUUGUAAAGCACUUUCAGUGGGGAAGAAAGCCUUGGGGCUAAUACCCUCGAGGAAGGACAUCACCCACAGAAGAAGCACCGGCUAACUCCGUGCCAGCAGCCGCGGUAAUACGGAGGGUGCGAGCGUUAAUCGGAAUUACUGGGCGUAAAGCGCGCGUAGGCGGUCUGAUAAGCCGGUUGUGAAAGCCCCGGGCUCAACCUGGGAACGGCAUCCGGAACUGUCAGGCUAGAGUGCAGAAGAGGAAGGUAGAAUUCCCGGUGUAGCGGUGAAAUGCGUAGAGAUCGGGAGGAAUACCAGUGGCGAAGGCGGCCUUCUGGACUGACACUGACGCUGAGGUGCGAAAGCGUGGGUAGCAAACAGGAUUAGAUACCCCGGUAGUC